AUACGGAGGUGGCAAGCGUUGCUCGGAAUCACUGGGCGUAAAGGGCGCGUAGGCGGGGAGGUAAGUCGGGUGUGAAAUCCCUCGGCCCAACCGAGGAACUGCGCCCGAGACUGCUUCUCUUGAGUCCCGGAGAGGAAGAUGGAAUUCCCGGUGUAGCGGUGAAAUGUGUAGAGAUCGGGAGGAACACCGGUGGCGAAGGCGGUCUUCUGGACGGUGACUGACGCUGAGGCGCGAAAGCGUGGGGAGCAAACGG
rnacentral:rRNA from 1 species